UCUGCAUAUAUACAUGCAUAUAAUUGUGCACUAGAAAUCUUAUACACUAGAAAAAUCUUAUACAGUAUGCAUCUCAUAUAUUGUUGAUAUAGUAUAAUAUCAUAAACUGAACCAUCUCAGUCGAAGAUUCAAUUAAUUAUUUAUUCAGAAAAACUCUUGAGUUCUAGGGCAAUUACAAAUCAGUCCCUAAUCUCAAAGCAACCUUCAAUAUUAGAGACUCUGAGGGACUCAAGUGCAAAAGUACCUAAUUAUAUCAGACUUUAUCUAAAUAAAAAAAAUUAGUGAAACCCUACAAUACUCCAACGAUCAAGCACUGCAUAGGAGUCAAAGCUAGGAGCAGCCAUCUAGCCCAAGUAGGUGAGUCACUUAGCUUUCACUAAAAAUUCCCACAUAUAUUAACUCAGCUAUCUGUGAACCAGCCUCGGUUUGGUCGUGCAGAUCAGCAUAGGCAGCAAGCAGUGGCAGUAGUAGUACCAACAGCAAGAGCACAGCCAUGUCGCAGCAGCCUCAGCCGCAACAGCAGUAGCAGCAAGCAGUUCGUAUGCAAAACCACCUCAAAAGAGAGAAAUAGCAGAGCAGUAGCUAGUAAUCCGGCACCACAGUUACACCAAAUCUCAAUAGCAGCAGCCAUAGAAAAACAACCAGGGUGAGAGAGUAGAAGGAAAAGAAAGGGGAUGCAUGUGUUUCAAGUAGAGCAAGGGGUUUCAAUUUAAAGAGGAGAAACAAGUAGCAGAUCCAGAAGGGCAGCAGUAAACAAGAGGAGGAGCAACACCCUGACCAAUUUCAGAAGAAGCUGUAGAACCAGAGGAGAGUCACACGGUCAUUAGUCUUCCACAGCCACAGUAGGACCAUCAAAUAAGGUAAUCUGGAAAAAGAAUUAGAAUAAGAGGGAAAUCACAUCAUGGCAUGAUUCUUGGUUGAUGCAUAUAAUAGUAUGUUUAGGAGUUGUGUGCAUGCACUUAGUCAUAUCCAUUAAACCUGAAAAAUGAACCUAAGGAGAUGGCAGCUAUGUUGAUCUGUGCAUAUACUAGUAUGUGUAGGCCUUGGGUGUUGCAUUUGCAUCCAUUAGAAGCUGAACCAGAACAUAUCAGAUUCAGUAAAAUAUUCAUAUUAAUUGUUUGAUCUUCAGAACAGUUUGUGUAACUAAAAUUUUACUAUAGAUAAACAGGUGCUCAGGUGAUAAAUCAAGAAACAGUAGAAUGUAUAUAAACAUAUCAUCAGUCUUAUACCUUUAUCAAAUUUAGUAACUGCAGAUGUUUAUCCAUAGUACAAAUAUUGAUAUUCUUGACAUAUAGAUAAAAUCAGAUUUUAGAUUUAGCCAUGGACUUGGAAAUUAGUAUCUGGACCCUAGCACAGAUUUAAUUUAUCAUGAAGCAUAAGGACUAUAACAACUCUGUCAAUUAGGCUAGUUCAAUUGUAGAUAAAUCAUCAUUCAAUUAGUAAACAGUAGUAUAUAUUUUAGAUUGUAUAGAAUCACCAUAUAAUUGGAUUUUGGGUGAAACAUUCAUUUAGUAUAUAAUACCAAGUUCAGGAAGCACUGGUAUUUCAGAUUAAAAUAUAGAAGAUCAUGUAGCAGCAGGUUUUAGUAAAAAGAAUAGAACUGAGGAAUUAAGGAUACCGAACAGAAAACCAUAGGUUCUUACAGAAAAUAAUCUAGAGAAGAGGUUAGAGCAUAGCAUCUGAAUCAAGUGGAUAUGUAUAUAAUUAGUUGACCAAUAGUUUAAUCCAUGUCCUCAUCAACCACUGUAAUUAAAUAAUUUAUAAAUUUGGUUAUUAAUCACACAAGUAUAUAGAGAUGAAAAUCUGGACAGUAGUAAUAUCAAGGAUAAACAAUGCAUGAGUUUACUAAUUCUAUGGGAUUUAUAUGUGUAAUAUGUGCAUAUGUAUAUCUUCAUUUUUUUUCAGUUUAAGUGCAAAAUUAGUAGUGGCUUAUGAAUUAUCAGGAAGCAGUAAUAUCCAUAGGGACUUGAUCAUGUUAGUGUUUUAACAAUUUCAGUGUUUCAGUUAAUUCUACAUGCAAGCAUACUUAUAAGGACAAAAUCAUGUUAGUGUGCUUUUAAUUUCAGUCCUGCAUUUUUAGAAGAUAUAUUCAUGUGAGCAUUCAUCUAUCAUGGGCAUACAGGCAUCAUCCAAUCUAGCAAAUGAAUUGAUCUAGAACCCUAGAACUAGUAAUUACAAUCCAUAGCAUAGAGUCAUCAAGUUGAUCAUUAGGAUUAGUCUCCAAGUAUCAUCAGUGUAUCACAACCAUAAUAAAUCAUAAGGGAAAGAACACCUUACUAGUACAACACACUAGAGAUCAGGAAAAAGGAGAUAGAAGAGAGGAAUCGAAGUGGUAGCAGCGGUAGGGGCCUGGGAACUUCCCCUGAAUCCUUACCUCGCCGGAGUUUUGCCGGCGGCUGCAUCUAGGAUUGAGGAGGUUGGAAGUUAGGUUUAGCUUAGGGGCAGAGAAGCAUGGAGCCAAGAAACCGAUUCGCGGCUGCGGGACAUCUGCUUGAGGGGUCGUCGGAGUGGGGCGUGGUAGCCGGCGCUAGGGAGAGCGGCGGCGUCGCCGGCGCUACCUAGGAAGCGGCGGCACUGGGAGAGGAAUUUUUUUCAUUUUUAGAUUUUUUUUUAAAAUAUUUAUAGAAAU
rnacentral:lncRNA from 1 species